CCUACGGGAGGCUGCAGUGAGGAAUAUUGGUCAAUGGACGAGAGUCUGAACCAGCCAAGCCGCGUGAAGGAUGACUGCCCUAUGGGUUGUAAACUUCUUUUAUAUGGGAAUAAAAUGUUCCACGUGUGGGUUUUUGUAUGUACCAUAUGAAUAAGGAUCGGCUAACUCCGUGCCAGCAGCCGCGGUAAUACGGAGGAUUCGAGCGUUAUCCGGAUUUAUUGGGUUUAAAGGGUGCGUAGGUGGUUGGUUAAGUUAGUUGUGAAAGUCUGAGGCUCAACGGUAAAAUUGCAUUUGAAACUGGUAGGCUUGAGUACAGUAGAGGUAGGCGGAAUGUGUGGUGUAGCGGUGAAAUGCUUAGAGAUCACGAAGAACUCCGAUUGCGAAGGCAGCUCAC
rnacentral:rRNA from 1 species